UACGUAGGGCGCAAGCGUUGUCCGGAAUUAUUGGGCGUAAAGAGCUCGUAGGCGGUUUGUUGCGUCGGCUGUGAAAUCCCGAGGCUCAACCUCGGGUCUGCAGUCGAUACGAGCAAACUAGAGUGUUGCAGGGGAGACUGGAAUUCCUGGUGUAGCGGUGAAAUGCGCAGAUAUCAGGAGGAACACCGGUGGCGAAGGCGGGUCUCUGGGAAGGUACCGACGCUGAGGAGCGAAAGCGUGGGGAGCGAACAGG
rnacentral:rRNA from 1 species